rnacentral:rRNA from 1 species
UGGGGAAUAUUGCACAAUGGGGGAAACCCUGAUGCAGCAACGCCGCGUGAAGGAAGACGGUUUUCGGAUUGUAAACUUCUUUUCUUUGUGAAGAAACAAAUGACGGUAGCAAAGGAAUAAGCAUCGGCUAACUACGUGCCAGCAGCCGCGGUAAUACGUAGGAUGCAAGCGUUAUCCGGAUUUACUGGGUGUAAAGGGAGCGCAGGCGGGACUUCAAGUUGGAUGUGAAAGGUCAAGGCUUAACCUUGGCACUGCAUCCAAAACUGUAGUUCUUGAGUGGAGUAGAGGUAAGCGGAAUUCCGAGUGUAGCGGUGAAAUGCGUAGAUAUUCGGAGGAACACCAGUGGCGAAGGCGGCUUACUGGGCUCUAACUGACGCUGAGGCUCGAAAGUGUGGGGAGCAAACAGG